rnacentral:rRNA from 1 species
GAUGAACGCUGGCGGCGUGCCUAACACAUGCAAGUCGAGCGAACUUCUUCGGAAGUGAGCGGCGGACGGGUGAGUAACGCGUGGGUAACCUGCCCUAUACACACGGAUAACAUACCGAAAGGUAUGCUAAUACGAGAUAACAUAAGAGAUUCGCAUGGAUUUCUUAUCAAAGCUUUUGCGGUAUAGGAUGGACCCGCGUCUGAUUAGCUAGUUGGUAAGGUAACGGCUUACCAAGGCGACGAUCAGUAGCCGACCUGAGAGGGUGAUCGGCCACAUUGGAACUGAGACACGGUCCAAACUCCUACGGGAGGCAG